rnacentral:rRNA from 1 species
GAUGAACGCUGGCGGCGUGCCUAAUACAUGCAAGUCGAGCGAACAGACGAGGAGCUUGCUCCUCUGACGUUAGCGGCGGACGGGUGAGUAACACGUGGAUAACCUACCUAUAAGACUGGGAUAACUUCGGGAAACCGGAGCUAAUACCGGAUAAUAUAUUGAACCGCAUGGUUCAAUAGUGAAAGACGGUUUUGCUGUCACUUAUAGAUGGAUCCGCGCCGCAUUAGCUAGUUGGUAAGGUAACGGCUUACCAAGGCAACGAUGCGUAGCCGACCUGAGAGGGUGAUCGGCCACACUGGAACUGAGACACGGUCCAGACUCCUACGGGAGGCAGCAGUAGGGAAUCUUCCGCAAUGGGUGAAAGCCUGACGGAGCAACGCCGCGUGAGUGAUGAGGGUCUUCGGAUCGUAAAACUCUGUUAUUAGGGAAGAACAAAUGUGUAAGUAACUAUGCACGUCUUGACGGUACCUAAUCAGAAAGCCACGGCUAACUACGUG